UAACGACACUGUCAAAUUAAAAUAUUAAUUAUGUUUCGAUAUUAUUACAAGUUCCGAACAAUUAUAUUAAGACCGUCGGUCUACCGAACAAUUAUUUAACCCGCUCGAGUGAAGAUUCGUUUGCUUUAUUUCCUCCAAAGUUCAUAAAUUAUCAAACGUACUAUAAUAAGAUAGAAUCUUAACGCGUCUUCCUCGUGGUCUGGAGGACUUAUAAUACAUUAUGGCUCAAGGGUAAGAAUAAUGCUCACGAGAUUAAAGCCUUCACGUGCGCCUUGGAGAAUGCAUCACCAUAAACCACGGUGCCAUAUAAACUUUAGUUGUGUACCAAGAAAAUAUAGUUUUAUAUCUAAGUUGUCUUUUCUAUAAAGAUAAAUAUCUGAAUAUAGCAUCUGAGCUGUAUAAACUUAAGAACUGUUUCAAUAAAUGUCCAA